GAAUACCGGUGGCGAAGGCGGCCCCCUGGACAAAGACUGACGCUCAGGUGCGAAAGCGUGGGAGCAAACAGGAUUAGAUACCCUGGUAGUCCACGCCGUAAACGAUGUCGACUUGGAGGUUGUUCCCUUGAGGAGUGGCUUCCGGAGCUAACGCGUUAAGUCGACCGCCUGGGGAGUACGGCCGCAAGGUUAAAACUCAAAUGAAUUGACGGGGGCCCGCACAAGCGGUGGAGCAUGUGGUUUAAUUCGAUGCAACGCGAAGAACCUUACCUACUCUUGACAUCCACGGAAUUUGGCAGAGAUGCCUUAGUGCCUUCGGGAACCGUGAGACAGGUGCUGCAUGGCUGUCGUCAGCUCGUUCUGAGAGAUUUUGAGCUUGGUUCUGGACCGGGCGCAAAGGGCAUUAUUUGGUGCAUUACUUUCUCUUUUUAACUGAAUGUUGAAGGCUAUCGCAUAACCGGUGUUAGUAUGGCACGACUGGUAAUCAUCAUGGCCAUUGUUGUACUGGGUACGGUAUGACGAAAACUCCUCCGGUAUCAGCGACCGGUUGAGAGCAAGCUUUCCUCCCAAACUGCGUCGUAGUUGAGGAUGACAAACUGCGAUCAACCGAAAGGACGUGAGGAUGACUUCGCGGCCAGAAUCAGAGCGCCCAAACAGCAAACACCCGUGCCCAAGAAGAACCCCCGGUCACCCCGCAGUUGUAAACCCAAUUUAAUUUGGGUUCCCAACACUUGUGAUGGCGCCUGCCACUGGUAGACGUGCUCUGCCCGCCUCG
rnacentral:rRNA from 1 species